CAGCAGCAGCCGCGGUAAUACAGAGGGUGCGAGCGUUAAUCGGAUUUACUGGGCGUAAAGCGUGCGUAGGCGGCUUCUUAAGUCGGAUGUGAAAUCCCUGAGCUUAACUUAGGAAUUGCAUUCGAUACUGGGAAGCUAGAGUAUGGGAGAGGAUGGUAGAAUUCCAGGUGUAGCGGUGAAAUGCGUAGAGAUCUGGAGGAAUACCGAUGGCGAAGGCAGCCAUCUGGCCUAAUACUGACGCUGAGGUACGAAAGCAUGGGGAGCAAACAGGAUUAGAUACCCGUGUAGUCCCUGUCUCUUAUAC
rnacentral:rRNA from 1 species